UACGAAGGGUGCAAGCGUUACUCGGAAUUACUGGGCGUAAAGCGUGCGUAGGCGGUUCGUUAAGUCUGUCGUGAAAGCCCCGGGCUCAACCUGGGAAUGGCGAUGGAUACUGGCGGGCUAGAGUGCGGUAGAGGGUGGUGGAAUUCCCGGUGUAGCAGUGAAAUGCGUAGAGAUCGGGAGGAACAUCAGUUGCGAAGGCGGCCACCUGGGCCAGCACUGACACUGAGGCACGAAAGCGUGGGGAGCAAACAGG
rnacentral:rRNA from 1 species